GGACAACCCAGUAAUCAACGCUCCAUCCACAAGCAGUGGUGCGGCGCCAGUCUUCAACAGCGCGCCCGGCGUUAGUGGGAAACAAUGGCAGUAGUAACUGAUGAGUGCAGUUUCUCUGGCCUGGGGAAGAGGGGUAGUAAAAUCCUCACGGACUCGUCUCUGUCACCCAGGCUGGAGUGCAGUGGUGCAAUCUCGGCUCAACCUCCACCUCCCAGUUUCAAGUGAUUCUCCUGUCUCAGCCUCCCGAGUAGCUGGGACUACAGAUGAACACAUUGAGUUUCUGUGGUUGCUUGGUAGCUUUUGGACAUCAGACUUUUCCAUUUUCUGCUCUAGAACUGGCCUGCUCUUCAGGAUUGGGCUGUUUGUCUUUGCCUCUGCCUGGCCAUGGGAACAUGACAGGGUUAGCUGGCUGAAAGGAUAAGAGAGCGAUACGGACCAGAAUGGCCUAGUUUUCUCCAGCCGAUCCCAUAUGUAUGCGCCCUCAGUUGCAACCUCACCAGCUGCCUUCCAGACCUGGGAGCAAACCCAGCUGAGACCAGAACUGUCCAGCCUAAAUCACUGAUUUACAGAAUCAGGAGCUAAAUAAAUGAUUAUUGUUUUGAGCCA
rnacentral:lncRNA from 13 species